CCUACGGGUGGCAGCAGUGGGGGAUAUUGCACAAUGGGGGAAACCCUGAUGCAGCGACGCCGCGUGGGUGAAGAAGCGCCUCGGCGCGUAAAGCCCUGUCAGCAGGGAAGAAAAUGACGGUACCUGAAGAAGAAGCCCCGGCGAACUACGUGCCAGCAGCCGCGGUAAUACGUAGGGGGCAAGCGUUAUCCGGAUUUACUGGGUGUAAAGGGGGCGCAGGCGGCGUGGCAAGACAGGAGUGAAAGCCCGGGGCCCAACCCCGGGACUGCUCUUGGAACUGCGUGGCUAGAGUGCAGGAGGGGCAGGCGGAAUUCCUGGUGUAGCGGUGAAAUGCGUAGAUAUGAGGAGGAACACCGGUGGCGAAGGCGGCCUGCUGGACUGCAACUGACGUUGAGGCCCGAAAGCGUGGGGAGCAAACAGGAUUAGAUACCCGAGUAGUC
rnacentral:rRNA from 1 species